GUGACGAGUGUCCACGAGCUUUUUCAUUCACAAUGUCACCUGCCUGCUGUUACAUGGAGACUCACCUGGGGAAUGGAUUUGUACCUUUUGCGUGUUAAGAACCAGUCAACAAUGGCGUGUCUCCAGUAACAUGUCUGAACAAGAAGCUCUCGAUGCCCCAGUGUCUCAGUACAGAUUGCACUGCCACUACACCUCCUGUUGUAUGUGUGUACAGAGAGGA